rnacentral:misc_RNA from 1 species
CAGAGUUGCAAAACUCCCUAAACCAUUGUGAACGUUACCUAAACCGUUGCUUCGGCGGGCGGCCCGGGUCCUUCCCGGCGCCCCUCGGCCCUCGCGGGCGCCCGCCGGAGGUAAACCAAACUAUUGCAUUGUAUGGCCUCUCUGAGUCUUCCGUACUGAAUAAGUCA